rnacentral:lncRNA from 1 species
CAGGUUUUAGAGAUUCCCUGGGUAAUGUCAGUCGAGUCUCUGUCCUAUUUCGGUUUUUCUUUUUUGCUUUCUCUCCUUUUCUCUUCUCUAUAUCUCACAGGGUCUGAAGACAGCAUUUAGAUGCCUUACAACAAGUCAACUAAAUGUACCAGAAGGCCAAACCCACCUCUAUGCUAAUGAGGGAUGUAGAACUUCAAGAAAUUUGCAGAUUAAGAUUCUAUUCACAGAAGAACCAGUCUUUCCAGGUCUGAAGGCCCAGGAAUUACCCAGGAUGGCACUAAGAUCAUCUGGAGUAUCUCCUUAUUGGAUUGAAUUCUUGCUCUCUAUACCUAGGGAUUUAUCAUCAGAGCAGGGAUUUUCUCAGAGUUAUUCAGCCUAG